rnacentral:rRNA from 1 species
AUACGGAGGAUCCAAGCGUUAUCCGGAAUCAUUGGGUUUAAAGGGUCCGUAGGCGGCUUUAUAAGUCAGUGGUGAAAUCCGGCAGCUCAACUGUCGAAUUGCCAUUGAUACUGUAGGGCUUGAAUCGUUGUGAAGUAACUAGAAUAUGUAGUGUAGCGGUGAAAUGCUUAGAUAUUACAUGGAAUACCAAUUGCGAAGGCAGGUUACUAACACCGUAUUGACGCUGAUGGACGAAAGCGUGGGUAGCGAACAGGAUUAGAUACCCUGGUAGUCCACGCCGUAAACGAUGGAUACUAGCUGUUCGGUUGCAAGACUGAGUGGCUAAGCGAAAGUGAUAAGUAUCCCACCUGGGGAGUACGAACGCAAGUUUGAA